UCGCGACGCGUUCGCCACGCAGCCGCGCUACACUAAAAAAAAAAUUAAAUAAAAAAAUUAAUAAUAAAAACCGAAUAAACUCGAAAAAAAACUGAGCAAGCAGCAGCAGCAGCAAUAUAUUCAACUAUUUUUAGCGCAUUACACGCCAGUGAAGUGACAGUGCAAUGAAAUGUGUGCAACAGCUAUAAAAACAACAACAACAA